GACGAACGCUGGCGGCGUGCUUAACACAUGCAAGUCGAACGGAAAGGCCCUGCUUUUGUGGGGUGCUCGAGUGGCGAACGGGUGAGUAACACGUGAGUAACCUGCCCUUGACUUUGGGAUAACUUCAGGAAACUGGGGCUAAUACCGGAUAGGAGCUCCUGCUGCAUGGUGGGGGUUGGAAAGUUUCGGCGGUUGGGGAUGGACUCGCGGCUUAUCAGCUUGUUGGUGGGGUAGUGGCUUACCAAGGCUUUGAAGGGUAGCCGGCCUGAGAGGGUGACCGGCCACAUUGGGACUGAGAUACGGCCCAGACUCCUACGGGAGGCAGCAGUGGGGAAUAUUGCACAAUGGGCGGAAGCCUGAUGCAGCAACGCCGCGUGCGGGAUGACGGCCUUCGGGUUGUAAACCGCUUUCGCCUGUGACGAAGCGUGAGUGACGGUAAUGGGUAAAGAAGCACCGGCUAACUACGUGCCAGCAGCCGCGGUGAUACGUAGGGUGCGAGCGUUGUCCGGAUUUAUUGGGCGUAAAGGGCUCGUAGGUGGUUGAUCGCGUCGGAAGUGUAAUCUUGGGGCUUAACCCUGAGCGUGCUUUCGAUACGGGUUGACUUGAGGAAGGUAGGGGAGAAUGGAAUUCCUGGUGGAGCGGUGGAAUGCGCAGAUAUCAGGAGGAACACCAGUGGCGAAGGCGGUUCUCUGGGCCUUUCCUGACGCUGAGGAGCGAAAGCGUGGGGAGCGAACAGGCUUAGAUACCCUGGUAGUCCACGCUGUAAACGGUGGGUACUAGGUGUGGGGUCCAUUCCACGGGUUCCGUGCCGUAGCUAACGCUUUAAGUACCCCGCCUGGGGAGUACGGCCGCAAGGCUAAAACUCAAAGGAAUUGACGGGGCCCCGCACAAGCGGCGGAGCAUGCGGAUUAAUUCGAUGCAACGCGUAGAACCUUACCUGGGUUUGACAUGGAUCGGGAGUGCUCAGAGAUGGGUGUGCCUCUUUUGGGGUCGGUUCACAGGUGGUGCAUGGCUGUCGUCAGCUCGUGUCGUGAGAUGUUGGGUUAAGUCCCGCAACGAGCGCAACCCUUGUUCACUGUUGCCAGCACGUUAUGGUGGGGACUCAGUGGAGACCGCCGGGGUCAACUCGGAGGAAGGUGGGGAUGACGUCAAGUCAUCAUGCCCCUUAUGUCCAGGGCUUCACGCAUGCUACAAUGGCUGGUACAGAGAGUGGCGAGCCUGUGAGGGUGAGCGAAUCUCGGAAAGCCGGUCUCAGUUCGGAUUGGGGUCUGCAACUCGACCUCGUGAAGUCGGAGUCGCUAGUAAUCGCAGAUCAGCAACGCUGCGGUGAAUACGUUCCCGGG
rnacentral:rRNA from 1 species